UACGUAGGGGGCAAGCGUUGUCCGGAAUCAUUGGGCGUAAAGCGCGUGUAGGCGGCUUGGUAAGUCUGCUCUGAAAGCCCGGGGCUCAACCCCGGGAGGCGGGUGGAUACUGUCAAGCUCGAGUCCGGAAGAGGAGUGUGGAAUUCCCGGUGUAGCGGUGAAAUGUGUAGAGAUCGGGAGGAACACCGGUGGCGAAGGCGGGUCUCUGGGCAAUUCCUGACGCUGAGGCGCGAAAGCGUGGGGAGCAAACGGG
rnacentral:rRNA from 1 species